rnacentral:ncRNA from 1 species
CAUAAAGCAACGGGAAAACCGGUAUUUUUAAAAGUUUGUAGAGAGUCUCUGUUUGGUGAAAGGGGACAACUAAAAAAAAUACGACUCAUUUUCUCGCUUCAUCUCUGAAGUCUAUUAGGAGGUGACGGCUAAUAACCGUUAUAAAAUUAAGAGCGAUUGAAAUUUAUUUCAAUAAUGUGGGUGGUACCGCGAUAAUUCGUCCCAGAG